UAUAAUUAUUGAUAUGGUGACUAGUGAUAUAGUGAAUAUCUUUGUACACUUAUCUGAUGAUCUUCUUAAAGUGUUUCUUAGGAUAAAGUUCUAGAAAAGAAUAUGAAUUAUUAAAGAUUGCCCUAGCUGAGCCCCAUUCCAAUUGUAGCCUCUUUUCUUCCUCCAAAAGCAGCUACUGUCCUGAUUUCUAUUAUUAGAAUAUCCUAUAAUUAUUCACAUACAAUAAUUUCAGAAUAAUGAUAUCAAUACCAGCACAAGUUAUGACUACCAUUAACAGUUAAAAUUUGACAUAUGCUAUUCCUUUUCUACCUAUUUAUUUAUUUGUUUGUCUCAAGUUUUUAUUUAAUUUCCAGUUAGUUAACAUACAGUGUAAUAUUAGUUUCACCUAUAGGAUUUAGUGAUUUAUCUCUUAUAUAUAAUACCUGCUGCUCAUCACAAGUUCCCUCCUUAUGACCCAUCCCCCAUCUAGCCCGUCCCCCACCCACAACAACCCUCUGCUUGUUCUCUAUUGUUAAUAGUAUUUUAUGUCUGCUAAACCUACUUUUGAAACAACUAGGAAUCCAAUUAAUCAUUUUUGUCUGUCCAGAACAUAGUCAUCAUUUUCAAGUAACAGUAUUACAAGUUUUUUGGGUGAAACCAAUUCUCCCUUACUCUCAGUUCAUGGGAUAAUAAAACGACAAGGUAUGUAGUGUGGAAGAGACUAAGUUGUUAUAUGUAGGAGGGCAAUGAUGAUCUCUCUGUUCUAGGCUGGGAAGUCUAGAGUUCUGGUUAUAUGGUAGCAAAACAUCUGUUAAAUGUUAAUCCCUUUAUCUUAGAACACAGAUAAUAAGACAACCAAGGUUAGAGUUUCGGGACCUGGUUGAGAAAUUUCGAUGACCCCUUCUAUCUGUGAACAAGUAAAUCUUUAUGGCUUACAGUCUGAUAAUAUUAAUCCUUAGAUGAUUGAAAAAAUUGAAAUAUAUGUCUGAGGCUAAUGUUAGUUUCAACAAAUGCAAAAAUAUGGGAGUGCAAAUGUAGGAUUAUACUGGAACUUGGAGAAAGUCUCCCAAGCUCUCUCUGCUAUUUAUUUCUCCUUCCAGCCAAAGGAAACAAUCACGACCAUUGUAAAGAGUUAUAAAUUGAAAUGUAGCCCGGUUUAAAGAGGCAAUUUGUACCAGCACAUCUCAUGCUAUGGUGUACAUCGUUCCAGUCUACGGCAAGUAGAAAGCACUUGGGCCUUGGACCCUCAGAAAUUGACGCUUCUGAAAUCUACAUUCAAGGAUUAUGAUACCGCAAGAUCGCUGUCUUUAGUUACUAAUUUAUGGGAUUAGAUUAAUGCAAAGCUAGAAAAAGCCCACAAGCAUUUGGAAAAUUGUGUUGGCUGAGAAAUAUUACUUCCAUUUUCCCUUCCAAAAUUAUCUCCAUGCCCAUAAGUCCCUGUGUUUUGGGAGGGGCUGGCUCAGUGCUUAGUCUCCAGUCCAGAUGCCUUAUUGAACCAGACUUGGUCAAUUAAGUUUCCACAUCAUCUUGACCACAGGGAUUGUUUCAAAGAUGGACACAUGAUCCAAAAUAGCCAAUAAUACAAGAUGUAAAAACUUUUUCUGCUGUGGUUGAGGUACUAAAAGAACUUAAGUUUAGGGAAUGUGGAUACCACUCAUAGUCAAACUUUGCUUUUUAAAUGAAUCAAUUUUAAAAAGUAGAUGUGA